GCUGGGCUCAGUGACGAAUGCCUGCAGUCCCAGCUACUCAGGAGACUGAGGUGGAAGGGCCACUUGAGUCCAAGAGUUCUGGGCUGUAGUGCAGUAGGCCAACUGGGUGACUACAGUACGUUUGGUGUCAAUAAGGUGACCUCCCGGGGAGCGGGGAAUCACCAGUUGCCUAUGGAGAGGUAAACUGGCCCAUGUCAGAAACAGAGCAGGUCAAAACUCUUGUGCUGAUUAGUAGGGGGAUCGCACCUGUGAAUAGCCACUGCGUUCCAGCCUGGGCAACAUACAGGGACCCAUGUC
rnacentral:SRP_RNA from 1 species